rnacentral:rRNA from 2 species
ACUGGUGUCUUAGUUAAAUUGGAACAACACCAAUCCAUCUCGAACUUGGUUGUUAAACAAUUUAAAGGUAACGAUACUUAGCCCGUGGGGGCUUGGAAAAAUAGCCUGAUGCCAGUUU